GCCCCUAUAGCCCAAUUGGCAGAGGCAGACGACUUAAAAUCGUCAGAGUCAGGGUUCGAGUCCCUGUAGGGGCA
rnacentral:tRNA from 1 species